rnacentral:rRNA from 1 species
GACGAACGCUGGCGGCGUGCCUAAUACAUGCAAGUCGAACGCAGUGGGGACGGGUGAGUAACACGUGGGUAACCUCCCAUCAGAGGGGAGAACACUUGGAAACAGGUGCUAAACCGAUACUGAUGGAUGGACCAGCGGUGCAUUAGCUAGUUGGUGAGGUAACGCCUCACCAAGGCCACGAUGCAUAGCAGACCUGAGAGGGGGAGCGGCAACACUGGGACUGAGACACGGCCCAGAUGCCUACGGGAGGCAGCAGUAGGGAAUCUUCGGCAAUGGACGAAAGUCUGACCGAGCCACGCCGCGUGAGUGAAGAAGGUUUUCGGAUCGUAAACCUCUUUGGGUAGAGAGGCGUUAUCAAACCAGAAAGCCACGGCUAACUACGUGCCAGCAGCCGCGGUAAUUC